rnacentral:rRNA from 1 species
CCUACGGGUGGCAGCAGUGAGGAAUAUUGGUCAAUGGCCGGAAGGCUGAACCAGCCAAGCCGCGUGAAGGACGAAGGUGCCAAGCAUUGUAAACUUCUUUUGUCAAGGGACAAAAUCAGGCUCGAGAGCCUGACCGAGGGUACUUGAAGAAAAAGCAUCGGCUAACUCCGUGCCAGCAGCCGCGGUAAUACGGAGGAUGCGAGCGUUAUCCGGAUUUAUUGGGUUAAAAGGGUGCGUAGGCGGGCUGUUAAGUCAGCGGUAAAAGCCCGGGGCGCAACCCCGGCGAGCCGUUGAAACUGGCUGUCGUGAGAUGUCGGGAGGUAUGCGGAAUGCGCAGUGUAGCGGUGAAAUGCUUAGAUAUUGCGCAGAACUCCGAUUGCGAAGGCAGCAUACCGGCGGCGAUCUGACGCUGAGGCACGAAAGCGUGGGUAUCGAACAGGAUUAGAUACCCCAGUAGUC